CCUACGGGUGGCAGCAGUGAGGAAUAUUGGUCAAUGGGCGCGAGCCUGAACCAGCCAAGUAGCGUGAAGGAUGACUGCCCUACGGGUUGUAAACUUCUGUUAUAAAGGAAUAAAGUGAGGCACGUGUGCCUUUUUGUAUGUACUGUAUGAAUAAGGAUCGACUAACUCCGUGCCAGCAGCCGCGGUAAUACGGAGGAUCCGAGCGUUAUCCGGCUUUAUUGGGUUUACAGGGAGCGUAGAGGGGUUGGUAAGUCAGUUGUGCAAGUUUGCGGCUCCACCGGAAAAUUGCAAUUGAUACUGGCAGUCUUGUGUACCGUUGCGGUUGGCGGCAUUCGUGGUGUAGCGGU
rnacentral:rRNA from 1 species